rnacentral:rRNA from 1 species
UCAGACGAUGCGUCAUGCAUAUCAAUAAGCGGAGGAAAAGAAACUAACAAGGAUUCCCCUAGUAACGGCGAGUGAAGCGGGAAGAGCUCAAAUUUGAAAUCUUAAAGGGUUUCCCUUUACGAAUUGUAGUUUAAAGAAGUGUUUUCUGUUGAGGUUUUGGUAAAAGUUCUUUGGAAUAGGACAUCAUAGAGGGUGAGAAUCCCGUAUUUGACCUUUACUUUCAACUUUGUGAUACACUUUCAAAGAGUCGGAUUGUUUGGGAAUGCAGUCCAAAAUGGGUGGUAAAUUUCAUCUAAAGCUAAAUAUUGGCGAGAGACCGAUAGCGAACAAGUACCGUGAGGGAAAGAUGAAAAGAACUUUGAAAAGAGAGUUAAACAGUACGUGAAAUUGUCAAAAGGGAAGCGUUUGACACCAGUGUUGUUUUUCUGAAAAUCAAUUAAAGAACUGUUUAUGCUAAGCUGUUUAGACUUUAUCAGCUAAUCUGUUUAGUUUUGAGCUUUUCUUUAAUGCACUUUUCAGUUAACAAGUCAACAUCAAUUUCUUUUGCUGUAAAAAAGCUUGAGGAAGGUGGCUUGAGAUUCGUCUUAAGUGUUUAUAGCCUCUUGCCUAUGCAGUCGGAGAGAUUGAGGUCUGCAGCGUAGAUCCUUCGGGGCUAAAUGCAUUUGUGCUAAGUUAUAGCAUUUUAUAGACAACUUGUUGACUAUGAUUUGUCUUGUAGCUUACUCGCUUAUGUUAUUUUACCUACGCUUAGGAUGUUGAGCGCAUGUCUCUCUCU